rnacentral:rRNA from 1 species
UGCCUUUAGGUCUAGGAUAGCCUCGGAAAAGCAAUGCCUAAAGAUGAGUCGGCGGUGGAUUAGGUAGUUGGUGGGGUAACGGCCCACCAAGCCAAAGAUCCAUACGGGCCCUGAGAGGGGGAACCCGGAGAAGGGCACUGAAAUACNGGCCCUAGCCCCACGGGGUGCAGCAGGCGCGAAAACUUUACAAUACACGAAAGCGCGAUUAGGGGACCCAAAGUGCUUAUACAAAGUAUAAGCUUUUGCCAAGAGCAAAUAUCUUGGAGAAUAAGUGGUGGGCAAGACUGGUGCCAGCCGCCGCGGUAACACCAGCGCCACAAGUGGGGGCCGCAUUUAUUUGGCCUAAAGCGUCCGUAGCAGGUUCUGUAAAUCUCUUGUGAAAUUGUGAGUCUCAAGCUUACAACGUGCAGGAGACACUGCAAAACUAGGGACCGGGAGAGGUUAGGAGUAUUCUUGGGGGAGCGGUAAAAUGUUAUAAUCCCAAGAAGACUACCAGUGGCGAAGGCGCCUAACCAGAACGGGUCUGACUGUGAGGGACGAAAGCCAGGGGAGCGAUCCGGAUUAGAUACCCGAGUAGUCCUGGCUGUAAACGCUGCGAGCUAGGUGUCGCAUAUUCUACGAGAAUAUGCGGUGUCGAAACGAAGGUGAUAAGCUCGCCGCGUGGGAAGUACGGUCGCAAGACUGAAACUUAA